CCCUGAAAGCAAAGUCACAUACAAUACACUUAGUGAAAUUUUUGACAUUCCCUCCAAAGAACAACGCACCCUCCAAAUUUGACAUUCAUCCUCGCAACCCUGCCUCGCCUGCACCUACUUCGUACACCCUCGCAACCCUGCCUCCGUCCAAAGCCCACCGUCGAUCGUCGCCCCCCACUCACUCUCUUCACUCUCGCCAUUGACCCUCUCACUGUCGCUCUCGCCAUUGACCCUCUCAUACAAGAAGAAACCCUCCUCUUCGCCAUCUUGCACAGAUCGUCGCUGCGCCGCCCUUACCAUCGUCGCUGCUGCCGCUCUCACCAUCGUCAUCUCCGUGCUUCUCAUCAUCGUCUUCUCUGUGCUCACAUCAUUGAAUAGUUGUCAAAGAUGUUGGUAGAAAUGACCUUGCUGCUUUAAUUGAUAGUUCACAGGAAGUGGCUAAGAAGUCCUUGGAAAAAGCUGCAGAGUGUGUGAGAUGCCUUGAGGAAGAUAUGGCAAAGGCUAGGUAA